rnacentral:rRNA from 1 species
AGUUUGAUCCUGGCUCAGAACGAACGCUGGCGGCAGGCUUAACACAUGCAAGUCGAGCGGAUGAGAGGAGCUUGCUCUUCGAUUCAGCGGCGGACGGGUGAGUAAUGCCUAGGAAUCUGCCUAGUAGUGGGGGACAACGUUUCGAAAGGAACGCUAAUACCGCAUACGUCCUACGGGAGAAAGUGGGGGAUCUUCGGACCUCACGCUAUUAGAUGAGCCUAGGUCGGAUUAGCUAGUUGGUAGGGUAAAGGCCUACCAAGGCGACGAUCCGUAACUGGUCUGAGAGGAUGAUCAGUCACACUGGAACUGAGACACGGUCCAGACUCCUACGGGAGGCAGCAGUGGGGAAUAUUGGACAAUGGGCGAAAGCCUGAUCCAGCCAUGCCGCGUGUGUGAAGAAGGCCUUCGGGUCGUAAAGCACUUUAAGUUGGGAGGAAGGGCUCAUAGCGAAUACCUGUGAGUUUUGACGUUACCAACAGAAUAAGCACCGGCUAACUUCGUGCCAGCAGCCGCGGUAA